ACACAUGCAAGUCGAACGGACUUACAUUGAAGCCUAGCGAUAUGUAAGUUAGUGGCGGACGGGUGAGUAACGCGUGGGUAACCUGCCUUGUACUGGGGGACAACAGUUGGAAACGACUGCUAAUACCGCAUAAGCGCACAGCUUCGCAUGAAGCAGUGUGAAAAACUCCGGUGGUACAAGAUGGACCCGCGUCUGAUUAGCUGGUUGGUGAGGUAACGGCCCACCAAGGCGACGAUCAGUAGCCGGCCUGAGAGGGUGAACGGCCACAUUGGGACUGAGACACGGCCCAAACUCCUACGGGAGGCAGCAGUGGGGAAUAUUGCACAAUGGGGGAAACCCUGAUGCAGCAACGCCGCGUGAGUGAAGAAGUAUUUCGGUAUGUAAAGCUCUAUCAGCAGGAAAGAAAAUGACGGUACCUGACUAAGAAGCCCCGGCUAACUACGUGCCAGCAGCCGCGGUAAUACGUAGGGGGCAAGCGUUAUCCGGAUUUACUGGGUGUAAAGGGAGCGUAGACGGUUUUGCAAGUCUGAAGUGAAAGCCCGGGGCUUAACCCCGGGACUGCUUUGGAAACUGUAGAACUAGAGUGCAGGAGAGGUAAGUGGAAUUCCUAGUGUAGCGGUGAAAUGCGUAGAUAUUAGGAGGAACACCAGUGGCGAAGGCGGCUUACUGGACUGUAACUGACGUUGAGGCUCGAAAGCGUGGGGAGCAAACAGGAUUAGAUACCCUGGUAGUCCACGCCGUAAACGAUGAUUACUAGGUGUUGGUGGGUACGACCCAUCGGUGCCGCAGCAAACGCAAUAAGUAAUCCACCUGGGGAGUACGUUCGCAAGAAUGAAACUCAA
rnacentral:rRNA from 1 species